rnacentral:rRNA from 1 species
UACGUAGAGUGCGAGCGUUAUCCGGAUUUACUGGGCGUAAAGAGUUGCGUAGGCGGUUUAAUAGAUCUCACUUGAAAGCCCAUGGCUCAACCAUGGUUUUGGGUGAGAUAUCAUUAGACUGGAUGGUAUGAGAGGGUGCUGGAACUGACGGUGUAGCAGUGAAAUGCGUUGAUAUCGUCGGGAACACCAAAGGCGUAGGCAGGCACCUGGCAUACUCAUGACGCUUAGGCACGAAAGCUGGGGGAGCGAAAGGG